UGGGGACAAAUAUAAUCUACUGCAUAAAAUUAUAGUGAGGAUUAAAUGAGAUUAUUUCCAUCUAAAGCCAAGCACAUGAUAGGUAUCGAACUGAUGGUAUCUCUUAUUAUCAUUAUGGUAGCCAGCCUCCAAGAAGGUCUUCAAAGAUCCUUGUCACUUGGUAUUCACACCCUUGCAUGGUCCCUUCCCAAACUGAAUCAGUGUCAACCUAUGUGAUCUACAGAAUGCAGCAGACAGGACAGUGGGUGCGGGCUCUGAGGCUAGGUCACAAAAGGUGUUCUUCGGCCUUGGUCUCUUCUCAGCCUCUGCCUUGGUCUCCUAAAUCACUUGCUCUCUGGAAACAAACUGCUGUGCCACAGAGACACUCAAGAGACUACAUAGAGAGGUGCACAUGGAGAGGAGCAAACUUCCCGGCCAUGUGAGCCAGCCCCCUUGGAAGCAGGGUUCUCCUGCCUCUGUCAGCUUUCAGUGGACUGCAGUCUCAACCAAUACCUGAGUGCAACUCUGUGAGAGACUCGGAGGCAGAACCAGUCAGCCAAGUCUCUUCCAGAUUCUGGACUCAAAGAAACUGUGAGAUAUAAUACAUGAUUGUUGCUUUAAGCCACUAUGUUUUGGCGAGAUUUGUUGUACAGUAUUAGACAACUCCAAUAGGAAGAUACUGUUUAUCUAAAAUUUUUUUUUAAAGUCAUAUCUGUGGCAUAUGGAAGUUCCCAGGCUAGGGGUCAAAUUGGUGCUGCAGCUGCUGGCCUACACCACAGCCACAGCAAUGUAAGAUCCAAGCCACAUCUGUGACCUAUACCACAUCUCAGUGCAACACCAGAUCCUUAACCCACUGAGUGAGGCCAGGGAUUGAACCCGCUUCCUCAUGGAUACUAGUCAGGUUUGUUACCACUGAGCCACAGUGGGAACUCUGAGUAGUGUCCUUAUAAGAGGAAGAGACACCGAGGAUGCUUGUGCACAGAAUAAAGCCCAUGGGAGAACACAGAGAGAAGGUGGCUGUCUGCAAGCCAAGGCGAGAGGCCUCAAAAGAGAAACUAAACUUGCCAUCACCUUGGUCUUGGACUUCCACCCUCCAAGACUGUGAGAAAGUAAAUUUCUGUUGUUUAAGCCACCCAGUCUGUGGUAUUUUGUUAUGGUAGCUUUAGCAAACUAAUAUGCCCUCUCACAUCCUUUCCAUGUGGCCUGAGCUUCCUCACAACAUGGCAACUAUGUUGCAAAGGCCACCAGACAGAGACAGAGGUGUAGAUGCUGUAUCUUUUUUAAGAUCUCGUUUCAGAAAUCAUGCAGCAUCUCUUCUGACAUAUUUUUUAGUAAUAAGUCAUUAAGUUAUGCCCCUGAGUCACUGAGAGUCAAGGGAAAAGGAAUUCAACUUUACCUUUUGAAGGAAGGGGAGUAAAGUAAUUAGCAGAUCUAUUUAAAACCAUUACCAUCAUCAUCAUAUUCAUCAUAUAGAUACCUCCGGCAAGGUAGAGGUAUGCCUCAAGCAAUUUGAUUGGAAGUGUAAAUCUGGAAGUCGGGGCCGGAGAUGUGGAUUUGGGAGUCAUCCACAAAGAGAAAUAAAAAGAGAAUGUGACCCUGGAGAAAAGGAGAGGGCUCAGCCUUGAGGACUGCCAAACCCACUUGGUGCUGCAUAAAGUCUUGAUUUGCUGGAAGCAUUGGGCAAGACUUCAAAAAGCCAGCUAACUCAGCCCACCUUGGGUAUUUACUACAAAGGAAAGUUUUUUUUCCAGUCUAUUAAAGCUUCCUACCAGCAAAUAGAGCACUACCUAAUGCUCCACAACCAGAAUAGUUUUAAAACCUGAUAAUCUCAUGAGGCGAAACAUCAUCUUUGACUGCAAGGUGAGUCCUAGGGGACCCACAGGCCAUGUCCUUUGCAAUCUUAACCAGAAGACUGCUUUGACCAGAACCCAAUUCCUUCCCACCUUCAGUAGUUGGCCACCCUCUUGGGCUGCUUGGUGCCUCUCUUCAUCGUCUGACCAUCAUGGCUUUCUUGUAGACAGCCAUAACCUCAACCUAGGAGCUUUUUAUAACUAAAAGCGUCUUAAAUUUAUUUAUUUUUUUCCAUAAAAUAUGGAUAUUUUAUUCCAGCUCCAGGAAAUGAAAAAUGAAAGCAGAGAAGAGAACACAUUCUUCCAGGCACCAUUCCUAUUUAGCUGACAUUAAUUCAGAAAAGCAAAAGAGCAUAUAUAUGUGUAUAUGUAUAAAUAUUUAUAUAUACACAUAUUUUCUCAGAUUUUAAUCUCAUCAGUGUUUAUAUAUUUACUCUUUAUUUUUUAUAAACACCCAUAAAAGUCAUCAAAUACAUCCUAAUAUUGUACAUCUACCUUUUCAUUGAUCAUUUGCUAUUGUUUGGAUUGUAAUCAUGGUUUGUAUUUUAAUCACUUGUGUGAUUCUUCAAACUAUACAUUAGAAAAUGUAAGGGGAAAACUUUUUUUUAAUACUCUAUGCAUCACGAUUACUCAUUACAUGAUUUUUUCCAUCGUUAUUUGCAACUUCAUACAUCUUGUAGUUCUCUAUGCAGACUAUUUCAACUUCUCAUGCUGUACGUAUCUGCAUCUUCUGGAUGGGACUGCCCAUGAUCCAUGAGCCUGGGGUCAUGCAAAAACUGUGUAGCACCUGAGGUGGAUUCUGAUUUGUCUUUGUUUCAGAGCUGAGUUCUGUUGGCAAAGGCACUGACUGUUUCAGGUUCUGAGUUGUUUUUACAGGUAUUGCUAUUUCAGCAGAGCUUCCUAGCUUAGUGUUUUCUUUAGGUUCAGGAAGCGACUCUUUUUUGUUUUUUGGUUUUUUUGUCCACAGUGACUUAACUGCUUCAUAAAUUUGCUGGCUUGUAGUAUAUGCCUUUUCCCAGUUAUCUUUGCAGUUAUUACUGACUGAACAGUUAUUACUAUAGCAAACAGUUGUUCCUAUAGUGGUUGGUCCCAGUGAAUAAGCAAUUUUCUUAAACCUAGAACCUUUUUGUAAUUAUGCCAAUUUUUGGAAGAAAGUCUCAAAGUGGAUUCUUCAAAUAGACAUAUGCAUCUUUUCCAAAUUGUACUGUAUCCAUUAUCCCAUUUUUCACAAAGACAUCAUAAGCACCCCUGCACCAGCCAAUAUAAUGACCAGUUGUAGUGCGAGUGGAUGCAAAGCCCAUUUGUAAAUGACCUGGCUGUUCUUCAACAUAUUUAGACUGAAGAGGUGAUGCACUGUACAUGGGGAGCUGCUCUGGUUUCACUAGCUGCUUUCUGGAUUCCUCUUCUUUGGCCACAUGCACACUUAUAGAUGCGCAUAUUAGACCUACUGGCAUGGUUGUCAGCUUUCCCAUCCUAAAGGCCGCCAUAUCUGUGACCCUCUCCCUAAAAGCAACUUAAAUUUAAACUUGAAAUUUAAAAUACAUAUUUAGGAAAAAAGAUGCAUAUGGGUAAUGCACAAGAUGAAAAUAGAAAUUACCUGUAAUCUCACCACACAGGGUAUGUGGUGAUUUCCUUCUGGACUCUUUUGAACAAUAUACUCUUUUUUAAAAAAAGAUCACUUUGAAUGUUUUGGGGCUUUUUAAAUUAAAUAUGUCAUAUGAAGUAUCUUCCACAGUAUUAAGUGAAUAUUAUUUUGCAGUAUUCUUUUAAUGAUUUCUUAGAUGGUCUAUGAUGUUAUUUAAUCAAUUCUGUAUGGCUGUGGACCUAAGUAAUAUCCUUGUUUUUGUUGUUGUUGUUCUUGUUUGCUACUUUCUUCUAAAAAACUUUUUAUUUUGAAAUAAUUACAGAUUCAUAAGUUGCAAAGCUAAUACAGAGGAGUUCUGUUGUGGCACGGAGGGAGGGUUAAGAAUCUAGUGUUGUCACUGCAGUUGCUUGGGUUACUGCUAUGGCGAGUGUCAGUCUCAGGCCUGGGAACUUCCACAUGCCACAGGCAUGCUCCUCAUCCUCCACCACCAACAAAAGAUAGUAUAGAGAGGUUCUAUGGAAUCUUUUUAUCCAGUUUCCCCCAAUUGUUACAUUUUACAUAGUUACAGUACAAUAUCAAAACCAAGUGUUUGACACUGGUAUAAAGUUGUGUAUGGUUCUAUGCCAUUUUAUCAUAUGUGUAGAUUUGUGUAACCACUACCACAAUCAAGAACUAUUCCAGCACCUCAAAGAUCUCCAUCCUGCUACCCUUACAUAGUCACACUCACCACUUGCCCCGUUACCCCAUCCCUAACUCCUGACAACAGCUAAUCUCCGUCUCUAUAGUUUUAUUAUUUCCUUUUUUUUGGCUUUUUAGGGCCACACUCCGUGGCAUAUGGAGAUUCCCAGGCUAGGGGUCUAAUGGGAGCUGUUGCUGCAGCCGACACCACAGCCACAGCAAUGCCAGAUCCUUAACCCACUGAGCAAGGCCAGGGAUCAAACCCACAACUUCAUGGUUCUCAGUUGGAUUAGUUUCUCCUGUACCACAAUGGGAACUCCUAUUAUUUCAAUAAUGUUAUAUAAAUGGAAUCAUAAGUAUAUCACCUUUUGUGGUGGACGUUUUUUCACUGAACAUAAUGCCCCUGAUAUCCAUCCAAGCUGUCCCCUCAUCAGUUGUCUAUUCUUUUGUGGGACUGAAUAGUAUUCUGUAUAUGAAUCCAUUACAGUUUGCUUAACCAUCUAUUAAGGGACAUGUUGUUUGUUUCUAGUUUGGGGGUAUUAUAGAUAAAGCAGCUGUGAACAAUCAGUAUAAGUUUUUGUGUGGAUACAAGUUUUCAUUUCUGUGGGAUAAAUAUCCAGGUGUAUGAUUGAUGGGUCAUACGGUAAGUGCAUGUUUAGUUUUUUUAAGUAACUACCAAACUAUUUCCACCAACAAUGUAUGAGAGAUCCAGUUCUCUGCACACUCACCAGCAGAUGGUAUUGACAUUAUUUUUAAAUUUACCUGUUCUCAUAAGUGUGUAGUGAUAUCUCCACAUGGCAUUAAUUUUGCAUUUCCCUAAUGGCUGUGAUAUUGAACAUCUUUUCAUGUGUUUAUUUGCUAUAUUUACAUGCUCUUCAGUAAAAUGUCUACUCAUAUCUUUUGCUGAUUUUUGUAAUUAUGGCCUAGGAUACAGUUUAACAUUUAUUCUUUGGUUGUUUGAAAAAAUGUAUAUUUUAUUGUUUAAUGGAGUAUUAUGUAAAUGUCCAUUAGAUCCUGUUGUUUUUUUGGUAUAUUGAGUCUUUCUUUAUCUAGUUGUUCUAUCAGCUGUUGAGAGAGAAAUGUUGAAGGCUCCAAGAGCAGGUUUGUCUGUUUCUACUUUUAGUUCUAUCAGUGUUUGAUUUAUUUAUUGGGAGGUUCUAAUAUUAGGGACAUUCAAAGUUAGGGUUAUUAUGUCUUGCUGGUGAAUUGACCCUUUUAUCAUGACAUAGUAUCCCUUCUUAUCCUUGGUGAUUUUUCCUUGCUCUUGAUUCUACUUUGUCUGAAACUAAUACGGCUACUCCAGCCUUUUAACUUAUUAUCAUUAAAAACAAUACUGUUCAGCCUUCGCACUCAUCCACAAAUACUAGAAUUUCUUGGUUAGAGGUCUGCAUGUUUUUAAAGGCUUUUGACUGUAUUGUCAAAUUGUCCUGCAUAAAUUUACUUUUACUGCCACAGCACUUGGGCCUUAUCAUUUAAAAUAAUUAUAAAUGAAAUAUAGGGUUUUCCAAAUUCAGUGGAAGUAUUUUCUCAUAGAUCAAUGAGGGUGCUGGUAGUCACAGUUGGUGCACAUCUAAGUGAGUAAAAUUUUCAUCUAUCCUAACAAAAGUCAAGAGGUCUAAAAUUCGUAAGUCAAGAAGUAAGGAUAUCUGGAGAUAGAUCUCAAGAGUUGGCAGUAAAUGUCAGAUGCAGCAGCCAUAAGAGUUGGGAAUAUUGCCCUUAAAGAGCCGGUCAGUCGCAUGGGAGAGGGUGGUGGUGGGUGAUUGGAGUGGCACAGUAGAGGAAUGGUGCUUUUGUAUUUAAGUCCCCUGUAGUAUUUUAUGUUUAAAAGCAUGUGAACGGGAGUUCCCAUCGUGGCGCAGUGGUUAACGAAUCCGAUUAGGAACCAUGAGGUUGCGGGUUCGGUCCCUGCCCUUGCUCAGUGGGUUAACGAUCCGGCGUUGCUGUGAGCUGUGGUGUAGGUUGCAGAUGUGGCUCGGAUCCAGCGUUGCUGUGGCUCUGGCGUAGGCCGGUGGCUGCAGCUCUGUUUCAACCCCUAGCCUGGGAACCUCCAUAUGCCGCGGGAGCGGCCCAAGAAAUAGCAAAAAAAAAAAAAAAAAAAAAAAAAAAAA
rnacentral:lncRNA from 1 species